rnacentral:rRNA from 1 species
AUUACUGAGUUUACGCUCUAUAACCCUUUGUGAACAUACCUAUAACUGUUGCUUCGGCGGGUAGGGUCUCCGCGACCCUCCCGGCCUCCCGCCUCCGGGCGGGUCGGCGCCCGCCGGAGGAUAACCAAACUCUGAUUUAACGACGUUUCUUCUGAGUGGUACAAGCAAAUAAUCAAAACUUUUAACAACGGAUCUCUUGGUUCUGGCAUCGAUGAAGAACGCAGCGAAAUGCGAUAAGUAAUGUGAAUUGCAGAAUUCAGUGAAUCAUCGAAUCUUUGAACGCACAUUGCGCCCGCCAGCAUUCUGGCGGGCAUGCCUGUUCGAGCGUCAUUUCAACCCUCAAGCUCUGCUUGGUGUUGGGGCCCUACAGCUGAUGUAGGCCCUCAAAGGUAGUGGCGGACCCUCCCGGAGCCUCCUUUGCGUAGUAACUUUACGUCUCGCACUGGGAUCCGGAGGGACUCUUGCCGUAAAACCCCCCAAUUUUCCAAAGGUUGACC